AGAGUUUGAUCAUGGCUCAGGAUUAACGCUAGCGGCAGGCAUAAUACAUGCAAGUUGAACGGGAUAAGUUGUAGCAAUACGACUUUGAGAGUAGCGCACGGGUGCGUAACACGUAUGCAAUCUGCCCCUAUCUGUGGAAUAGCCCCUCGAAAGAGGGAUUAAUACCACAUAAAAUAGUGAAUAGGCAUCUAUUUACUAUCAAAGCUCCGGCGGAUAGGGAUGAGCAUGCGGCUGAUUAGCUAGUUGGUGAGGUAAUGGCUCACCAAGGCUACGAUCAGUAGGGGGUCUGAGAGGAUGUCCCCCCACACUGGUACUGAGACACGGACCAGACUCCUACGGGAGGCAGCAGUAGGGAAUAUUGGUCAAUGGGGGCAACCCUGAACCAGCCAUGCCGCGUGCAGGAUUAAGGCCCUAUGGGUCGUAAACUGCUUUUGUACGGGAAGAAAUCACAUUACGUGUAAUGUGUUGACGGUACCGUGAGAAUAAGGAUCGGCUAACUUCGUGCCAGCAGCCGCGGUAAUACGAAGGAUCCAAGCGUUGUCCGGAUUUACUGGGUUUAAAGGGUGCGUAGGCGGACUAUUAAGUCAGUGGUGAAAGCUUGCAGCUUAACUGUAAAAUUGCCAUUGAAACUGAUAGUCUCGAAUAUGGUUGAGGUAGUUGGAAUGUAUCAUGUAGCGGUGAAAUGCUUAGAUAUGAUACAGAACACCGAUUGCGAAGGCAGAUUACUAAACCAUUAUUGACGCUGAGGCACGAAAGCGUGGGGAUCAAACAGGAUUAGAUACCCUAGUAGUCC
rnacentral:rRNA from 1 species